AGCGAACGCUGGCGGCAGGCCUAACACAUGCAAGUCGAACGAACCUUUCGGGGUUAGUGGCGGACGGGUGAGUAACACGUGGGAACGUGCCUUUAGGUUCGGAAUAACUCAGGGAAACUUGUGCUAAUACCGAAUGUGCCCUUCGGGGGAAAGAUUUAUCGCCUUUAGAGCGGCCCGCGUCUGAUUAGCUAGUUGGGUGAGGUAAUGGCUCACCAAGGCGACGAUCAGUAGCUGGUCUGAGAGGAUGAUCAGCCACAUUGGGACUGAGACACGGCCCAAACUCCUACGGGAGGCAGCAGUGGGGAAUCUUGCGCAAUGGGCGAAAGCCUGACGCAGCCAUGCCGCGUGAAUGAUGAAGGUCUUAGGAUUGUAAAAUUCUUUCACCGGGGACGAUAAUGACGGUACCCGGAGAAGAAGCCCCGGCUAACUUCGUG
rnacentral:rRNA from 1 species